rnacentral:rRNA from 1 species
GAGUUUGAUUAUGGCUCAGAACGAACGCUGGCGGCGCGCCUAAUACAUGCAAGUCGAGCGAGAAGACGUAGCAAUACGUUUGUAAAGCGGCGAACGGGUGAGGAAUACAUGGGUAACCUACCCUCGAGUGGGGAAUAACUAGCCGAAAGGUUAGCUAAUACCGCAUACGACUCUUGGUCUGCGGAUCAGGAGAGAAAGCGAUACCGUGGGUAUCGCGCUCUUGGAUGGGCUCAUGUCCUAUCAGCUUGUUGGUGAGGUAACGGCUCACCAAGGCUUCGACGGGUAGCUGGUCUGAGAGGACGAUCAGCCACACUGGCACUGCGACACGGGCCAGACUCCUACGGGAGGCAGCAGUAAGGAAUAUUGCGCAAUGGGCGACAGCCUGACGCAGCGACGCCGCGUGGGGGAUGAAGGUCUUCGGAUUGUAAACCCCUUUCGGCAGGGAAGAUGGAACGGGCAACCGUUCGGACGGUACCUGCAGAAGCAGCCACGGCUAACUUCGUGCCAGCAGCCGCGGUAAUACGAAGGUGGCAAGCGUUGUUCGGAUUUACUGGGCGUACAGGGAGCGUAGGCGGUCGGGUAAGCCCUCCGUGAAAUCUCCGGGCCUAACCCGGAAAGUGCGGAGGGGACUGCUCGGCUAGAGGAUGGGAGAGGAGCGCGGAAUUCCCGGUGUAGCGGUGAAAUGCGUAGAGAUCGGGAGGAAGGCCGGUGGCGAAGGCGGCGCUCUGGAACAUUUCUGACGCUGAGGCUCGAAAGCGUGGGGAGCAAACAGGAUUAGAUACCCUGGUAGUCCACGCCUUAAACGAUGGAUACUAAGUGUCGGCGGGUUACCGCCGGUGCCGCAGCUAACGCAGUAAGUAUCCCGCCUGGGAAGUACGGCCGCAAGGUUGAAACUCAAAUGAAUUGACGGGG